UGGCUCAGGAUGAACGCUAGCGGCAGGCCUAACACAUGCAAGUCGAGGGGUAACAGGCGGUAGCAAUACUGUGCUGACGACCGGCGCACGGGUGCGUAACGCGUAUGCAACCUGCCUCGCACAAGGGGAUAACGGAGUGAAAAUUCCACUAAUAUCCUAUGGUGUUGCCUUGCCGCAUGGCGAGGCGACUAAAGCUACGGUGGUGCGAGAUGGGCAUGCGUGACAUUAGGUAGUUGGCGGGGCAACGGCCCACCAAGCCCACGAUGUCUAGGGGAGCUGAGAGGCUAAUCCCCCACACUGGUACUGAGACACGGACCAGACUCCUACGGGAGGCAGCAGUGAGGAAUAUUGGUCAAUGGAGGGAACUCUGAACCAGCCAUGCCGCGUGAGGGAGGAAGGCCCUAUGGGUUGUAAACCUCUUUUGACGGGGGUCAAUAAGGGAGCUGCGGCUUCCGAUGAGCGUACCCGUCGAAUAAGCAUCGGCUAACUCCGUGCC
rnacentral:rRNA from 1 species